rnacentral:tRNA from 1 species
GCCAGAGUAGCUCAGCGGUUAGAGCGCGAAAACAACUCCGGACGGUGUUCUCCGGCGCGAUGAGCGCCGGCAGUGAGCUCCGGGGUUACUUCCCUUCUCAGGACGAGGUCGCGGGUUCGAGUCCCGCCUCUGGCA